rnacentral:rRNA from 1 species
UGAAAAACCACCCUUGUAUUGUUGGUGUUGUAUCGACGACUCCGGAUCGGGGUUGCUGACAGUGCCUGGUGGGUAGUUUGACUGGGUCGGUCUCCAACCAAAGAGUAACGGAGGAGGACGAAGGUGGGCUAAUCACGGUUGGACAUCGUGAGGUUAGUGCAAUGGCAUAAGCCCGCUUGACUGCGAGAAUGACAAUUCGGGCAGGUGCGAAAGCAGGUCAUAGUGAGCCGGUGUUUCUGAAUGGAAGGGCCAUCGCUCAACGGAUAAAAGGUACUCCGGGAAUAACAGGCUGAUACCGCCCAAGAGUUCAUAUCGGCGGCGGUGUUUGGCACCUCGAUGUCGGCUCAUCACAUCCUGGAGCUGAAGUCGGUCCCAAGGGUAUGGCUG